GAUGAACGCUGGCGGCGUGCCUAAUACAUGCGAGUCGAGCGAACAGACGAGGAGCUUGCUCCUCUGACGUUAGCGGCGGACGGGGAGUAACACGUGGAUAACCUACCUAUAAGACUGGGGUAACUUCGGGAAACCGGAGCUAAUACCGGAUAAUAUAUUGAACCGCAUGGUUCAAUAGUGAAAGACGGUUUUGCUGUCACUUAUAGAUGGAUCCGCGCCGCAUUAGCUAGUUGGUAAGGUAACGGCUUACCAAGGCAACGAUGCGUAGCCGACCUGAGAGGGUGAUCGGCCACACUGGAACUGAGACACGGUCCAGACUCCUACGGGAGGCAGCAGUAGGGAAUCUUCCGCAAUGGGCGAAAGCCUGACGGAGCAACGCCGCGUGAGUGAUGAAGGUCUUCGGAUCGUAAAACUCUGUUAUUAGGGAAGAACAAAUGUGUAAGUAACUAUGCACGUCUUGACGGUACCUAAUCAGAAAGCCACGGCUAACUACGUG
rnacentral:rRNA from 1 species